rnacentral:rRNA from 1 species
GCCAAGUCGAACGAAGUCUUCGGACUUAGUGGCGAACGGGUGCGUAACGCGUGGGAACCUGCCCUUAGGUUCGGAAUAACAGUUAGAAAUGACUGCUAAUGCCGGUAUAAUGUCUUCGGACCAAAGAUUUAUCGCCUUUGGAUGGGCCCGCGUAGGAUUAGGUAGUUGGUGAGGUAAAGGCUCACCAAGCCGACGAUCCUUAGCUGGUCUGAGAGGAUGAUCAGCCACACUGGGACUGAGACACGGCCCAGACUCCUACGGGAGGCAGCAGUAGGGAAUAUUGGACAAUGGGCGAAAGCCUGAUCCAGCAAUGCCGCGUGAGUGAUGAAGGCCUUAGGGUUGUAAAGCUCUUUUACCAGGGAUGAUAAUGACAGUACCUGGAGAAUAAGCUCCGGCUAACUCCGUGCCAGCAGCCGCGGUAAUACGGAGGGAGCUAGCGUUGUUCGGAAUUACUGGGCGUAAAGCGCGCGUAGGCGGCUAUCCAAGUCAGGGGUGAAAUCCCGGGGCUCA